CGCACCUUGCGCCCCUUGGUAUUCCGAGGGGCAUGCCUGUUUGAGUGUCAUGUAAUUCUCAAUCCUCUUCUUCUUAAUUGGGGAAGGGGUUUGGACCUGGAGGUAUAUGUAAUGCUGGUACUCCCUGUAUCGGCUCCUCUCAAAUGCAUUAGCUGGACUGUAGUUCGCGUUGUUUAGUGUAAUAGUCUUCUAUCUAUAUUCACUACAGUGCUUACUUGGACUGUCUGCUUCCAAUUGUCCGCCUAUGUGCUGGACAAGGUGCUCUGUUACCUUAAAUCAUUUGACCCCUUUGACCUCAAAUCAGGUAGGACUACCCGCUGAACUUAA
rnacentral:misc_RNA from 1 species